UUCCUUUUAAUUUUUCCUCGACACUCUGACUUUACUUAUGUCUCUCACCUUUGCUUUCCCUCCAUUCCCCAUCCGCAACAAUAACUUGCUCCAAGCUCACUUUGCUCAAGUGUCUAGGACAGUGGUUCUCAGCCUUCCUAAUGCCGCGAC